rnacentral:rRNA from 1 species
GACGAACGCUGGCGGCGUGCUUAACACAUGCAAGUCGAACGGUGAAGCGCCUUCCUUUUUGGUGGGUGUGGAUGAGUGGCGAACGGGUGAGUAACACGUGAGUAACCUGCCCCCUUCUUCUGGAUAACCGCAUGAAAGUGUGGCUAAUACGGGAUAUUCUGGGUCUGUCGCAUGAUGGGUCUGGGAAAGAUAUUGUUUCGGUGGGGGAUGGGCUCGCGGCCUAUCAGCUUGUUGGUGGGGUGAUGGCCUACCAAGGCGGUGACGGGUAGCCGGCCUGGGAGGGUGGACGGUCACACUGGGAAUGAGACACGGCCCAGACUGCUACGGGAGGCAGCAGGGGGGAAUACUGGACAAUGGGCGCAAGGCUGAUGCAGCGACGCCGCGUGAGGGAUGGAGGCCUGCGGGUUGUGAACAGCUUUCGCUAGUGAAGCAGGCCUGCCUCGUCUGUGGGUGGGUUGACGGUAGCUGGAGAAGAAGCGCCGGCUAACUACGUG